UACGUAGGUGGCAAGCGUUGUCCGGAUUUACUGGGCGUAAAGAGCGCGCAGGCGGUCGUUCAAGUCGCGUGUGAAAGCCCCCGGCUCAACUGGGGAGGGUCACGCGAUACUGAUCGACUCGAAGGCAGGAGAGGGAAGUGGAAUUCCCGGUGUAGUGGUGAAAUGCGUAGAUAUCGGGAGGAACACCGGUGGCGAAGGCGGCAUCCUGGACCGGUAUUGACGCUGAUGCGCGAAAGCCAGGGGAGCAAACGGG
rnacentral:rRNA from 1 species